rnacentral:tRNA from 6 species
GCCCGCGUAGCUCAGUGGAUAGAGCGUCUGCCUCCGGAGCAGAAGGUCGUAGGUUCGAAUCCUGUCGCGGGCACCC